rfam:Vitis vinifera, whole genome shotgun sequence of line PN40024, unoriented chromosome 15, chr15
AAUUGGUCGGGAGCUAGUGUCAUUCCCCUGAUGAGUCCAUGGCAGGACGAAACCAAUC